AGUUGAUGGCUCUUUUCAUCGCCCGUGGUGAAUACUAGAAAGGACUACUUUUCAUUUUCACCGUAAAGGUAAAAGAUUCAUACACCCUUGGCAUCAUCUGUAAACUUUGUUAUUUUGGUUUUCUUACUCUUUGUGCAGACUCCAUGGUUAGAUAACAUGCAUUGUGUUUGGACAAGUCAUUGAAGGUAUGAAGCUUGUGAGGACACUUGAAUCCCAGGAGAAAGGUUGCAGAAUCUAUGCCUGCGGAGAGCUCCCGAUGGAAGCUUAAAAACCACCAUUAAAACCGGUGCAUUGUCAUUGAUAUCCUUGUUCUGUUUUCUUAUUAUGAC